AGGAUCAAGUCAUAAUGGGAGCAUUUUUAGACAAGCCAAAGAUGGAGAAGCAUAAUGCCCAGGGGCAGGGGAAUGGGUUACGAUACGGCCUAAGCAGCAUGCAAGGUUGGCGAGUCGAAAUGGAGGACGCACACACGGCUGUGAUCGGUUUGCCAAGUGGACUUGAGACAUGGUCAUUCUUUGCUGUAUAUGAUGGGCAUGCUGGUUCUCAGGUUGCCAAAUACUGCUGUGAGCACUUGUUAGAUCACAUCACCAAUAACCAGGAUUUUAGAGGGUCUGCAGGAGCACCUUCUGUGGAGAANGUAAAGAAUGGAAUCAGAACAGGGUUUCUGGAGAUUGAUGAACACAUGAGAGUUAUGUCAGAGAAGAAACAUGGUGCAGAUAGAAGUGGGUCAACAGCUGUGGGUGUCUUAAUCUCUCCCCAACAUACUUAUUUCAUUAACUGUGGAGACUCGAGAGGUUUACUUUGUAGGAAUAGAAAAGUUCACUUCUUCACACAAGACCAUAAACCAAGUAAUCCACUGGAAAAAGAACGAAUUCAGAAUGCAGGGGGCUCAGUGAUGAUUCAGCGUGUCAAUGGCUCUCUGGCUGUAUCGAGGGCCCUUGGGGAUUUCGAUUACAAAUGUGUCCAUGGAAAAGGUCCCACAGAGCAGCUUGUCUCACCAGAGCCCGAAGUCCAUGAUAUCGAAAGGUCUGAAGAAGAUGAUCAGUUCAUCAUCCUUGCAUGUGAUGGGAUCUGGGAUGUCAUGGGAAACGAAGAGCUCUGUGACUUUGUGAGAUCCAGACUUGAAGUCACUGAUGACCUUGAGAAAGUUUGCAAUGAAGUAGUCGACACCUGCUUGUAUAAGGGAAGUCGAGACAACAUGAGUGUGAUUUUGAUCUGUUUUCCAAGUGCACCAAAAGUCUCGGCAGAGGCGGUGAAGAAGGAGGCGGAGCUGGACAAGUACCUGGAGAGCAGAGUAGAAGGUGGAUCAUUAACAAAAAUAAAUAAGUAGCUUUAUUUAAAAACAAAACCUUCCACACAAAGUCUAACCUUUUAGAAAGGUUUUAGUCCAUUACAUGCCUUUAGCAUGUAGUACUUAGUGUGUAAAAGUGGAAAGGACAUUGUGUAGUAACCAUUUAUGUAGCUAUGUUCCUUGGGCCCUGUGCACUAUGGUUAGGAAACUUCCAAGUGACUGAAGCAUGCAUGGCUCUAAGGUUCUUGCUGAACUCACUGGCAUGUGUAAGUUCAUGCCAGGCAAGCCUGAGAGUCCUCUCCUCGGAAAAGAUGUACUGCAAGUCUCUGGAAUAUUUUUAAUUACCUAUGUUCGGUUGGUUGGAUUUUGGGUGGUUUGGUUUUGUUGGUUUUGGUUUUGAGAACGUGAAGGUGGAAUGUGUAGUAACAACUGUCAGAUCCCACAG